AGUUUUUUAAUUGAAAACUUGUAUGAAAGAUUUGAUGAAAUAUUAACUGUCUCUUAAUUAUUAAUAAAACUUUAUUUUUUAGUUAAAAAGCUAAAAUAAAUUUAAAAGACGAGAAGACCCUAUAGAGUUUUAUAUUUGAGUUUUAUUUUAAAUAUAUAUAUAAAUUAAUAUUAAUAAAAUUAAAUAUUAUAUUGGGGUGAUAGAAAAAUUUAAUUAACUUUUUUUAAAUAAUAAACAUAAAUAAGUGAAUAAAUGAUCCAUUUAUAAUGAUUACAAGAAAAAAUUACCUUAGGGAUAACAGCGUAAUAUUUUUUUUUAGUACAUAUAAAAAAAAAAGAUUGCGACCUCNAUGUUGGAUUAAGAUAAAAUUUAAAUGCAAAAGUUUAAAAUUUUGAUCUGUUCGAUCAUUA
rnacentral:rRNA from 1 species